UACAGAGGGUGCGAGCGUUGUCCGGAAUCACUGGGCGUAAAGGGUGCGUAGGCGGUCUGACAAGUCUGAUGUGAAAUCUAUGGGCUCAACCCAUAGUCUGCAUCGGAAACUGUCGGGCUUGAGUAUGGGAGAGGUGAGUGGAAUUUCCGGUGUAGCGGUGAAAUGCGUAGAUAUCGGGAGGAACACCAGUGGCGAAGGCGGCGCCUGGGCCAAUAUUGACGCUGAGGUGCGAAAGCGUGGGGAGCAAACAGG
rnacentral:rRNA from 1 species